GUCCCUGUGGUGUAGUGGUAGUGUGCUUUGCUCUUGUAUAGGCAACUUGUGUAUGUCCCAUGUAGUAAGUUGUCUUAUAUAGUGUCAGAGAAGUCGGGGGUUUAAUUCCUCCUGGGGGCA